GACGAACGCUGGCGGCGUGCUUAACACAUGCAAGUCGAGCGGUAAGGCCCCUUCGGGGGUACACGAGCGGCGAACGGGUGAGUAACACGUGAGCAAUCUGCCCAUCACAUCGGGAUAACUUCGGGAAACCGGAGCUAAUACCGAAUACGACCACCUCCGGCAUCGGAUGGUGGUGGAAAGUUCCGGCGGUGAUGGAUGAGGUCGCGGCCUAUCAGCUUGUUGGUGGGGUAACGGCCCACCAAGGCUUCGACGGGUAGCCGGCCUGAGAGGGUGACCGGCCACACUGGGACUGAGACACGGCCCAGACUCCUACGGGAGGCAGCAGUGGGGAAUAUUGGACAAUGGGCGAAAGCCUGAUCCAGCAACGCCGCGUGAGGGAUGACGGCCUUCGGGUUGUAAACCUCUUUCAGCAGGGACGAAGCGCAAGUGACGGUACCUGCAGAAGAAGCACCGGCCAACUACGUGCCAGCAGCCGCCGUAAAAC
rnacentral:rRNA from 1 species